AGUGAACGCUGGCGGUAGGCCUAACACAUGCAAGUCGAACGGCAGCACAGUAAGAGCUUGCUCUUACGGGUGGCGAGUGGCGGACGGGUGGGGAAUACAUCGGAAUCUACUUUUUCGUGGGGGAUAACGUAGGGAAACUUACGCUAAUACCGCAUACGACCUACGGGUGAAAGCAGGGGAUCUUCGGACCUUGCGCGAUUGAAUGAGCCGAUGUCGGAUUAGCUAGUUGGCGGGGUAAAGGCCCACCAAGGCGACGAUCCGUAGCUGGUCUGAGAGGAUGAUCAGCCACACUGGAACUGAGACACGGUCCAGACGCCUACGGGAGGCAGCAGUGGGGAAUAUUGGACAAUGGGCGCAAGCCUGAUCCAGCCAUACCGCGUGGGUGAAGAAGGCCUUCGGGUUGUAAAGCCCUUUUGUUGGGAAAGAAAAGCAGCAGGUUAAUACCCCGCUGUUCUGACGGUACCCAAAGAAUAAGCACCGGCUAACUUCGUG
rnacentral:rRNA from 1 species